rnacentral:rRNA from 1 species
AUUGAACGCUGGCGGCAGGCUUAACACAUGCAAGUCGAGCGCGCGGCGGACGGGUGAGUCCUGUCUGGGACACUGCCUGAUGGAGGGGGAUAACUACUGGAAACGGUAGCUAAUACCGCAUACCAUCAGAUGUGCCCAGAUGGGAUUAGCUAGUAGGUGGGGUACUGGCUCACCUAGGCGACGAUCCCUAGCUGGUCUGAGAUGAUGACCAUACACACUGUAACGGAGACACGGUCCAGACUCCUACGGGAGUCAGCAGUGGGGAAUAUUGAACAAUGGGCGUAAUCCUGAGGCAGCCAUGCCGCGGGUGUGAAGAAGGCCUUCGGGUUGUAAAGCACUUUCAGCGAGGAGGCGUUACUCGCAGAAGAAGCACCGGCUAACUCCGUGCCAGCAGCCGCGGUAAUUC